rnacentral:lncRNA from 1 species
AUGAGGUUAGGAAAGCCCAAAGGGGGUAUUUCUUGAAGCGCCAGCCAAGGAAAAGCCUACGAGAGCAAGCGCAAGACAGCUCACCAGCGACAGAAAUGGGGGGUGGCCAUUCUUCGACUCGGGCUUGAGUAGACGGAGAAGGAACGUGGACGAGAAGCCUUACAAGUGUGCUAAAUGCUCCAAGAGUUUCAGUCAGAGCUCCACGCUCUUUCAGCACAAGAAGAUCCAUACUGGGAAGAAAUCCCAUAAAUGUGCCGAUUAUGGGAAAAGUUUCUUUCAGAGUUCUAACCUCAUCCAGCACCGGCGGAUCCACACGGGGGAAAAGCCCUAUAAGUGUGACGAGUGUGGAGAGAGAUUCAAGCAGAGCUCCAAUUUCAUCCAGCACCAGAGGAUCCACACCGGCGAGAAGCCCUACUGCUGUGAUGUGUGGCCGGUGCUUUAGCCAGAGUUCCCACCUCAUCCAGCACCAGGGAACCCACACCGGAGAGAAGCCCUACCAGUGUGAGGCGUGUGACAAGUGCUUCAGCCAGAGCUCCCAUCUGAGGCAGCACAUGAAGGUGCACAAAGAAAAGAAGCCAUGUAAGAGGGGCAAAGAUGCCAGAGUGAAAACUCACCUGGUGUCCUGGAAAAGGGGCAAAGGGAGGAAGGCGGUGGCUGGGAUCCGCCAGGUAAAGGGAGCCACUUCCGGCCUUUUAAAAAAGAAGUG